ACGCUCGACACCUACGAGGCAGCAGUGAGGAAUAUUGGUCAAUGGGCGCAGGCCUGAACCAGCCAAGUAGCGUGAAGGAUGACUGCCCUAUGGGUUGUAAACUUCUUUUAUAUGGGAAUAAAGUUUUCCACGUGUGGAAUUUUGUAUGUACCAUAUGAAUAAGGAUCGGCUAACUCCGUGCCAGCAGCCGCGGUAAUCUGAGCGGGCUGGCAAGGC
rnacentral:rRNA from 1 species